UAACUCGGUGGUACAGUGCUUGCCUGGAAUGCAGGAGAGCCUAGGUUCAACCCCUAG
rnacentral:tRNA from 1 species